GUUAUUAAUGGCCGCCCUUAUGUAACAGCCCCUCAGAUUGCAUUUUAAGUGUUUAGUGAAUAUAUCGAAGAAAAAUAAACUACUUGUUCAAAUUAUGAAUCAACGUGAGUCAUAAUGGACCAUGAAGUCAAUGUCAGGUUGUGACAAUGGUCGGUGAUGGAGUUCCUCCUCAAGGCUAGCGAUGACUCUGCCACAUCGAUUCACAGGAAGUUGCUCCCUGUUUAUGGGGAGGAAACAGUGGAUCACAGCAGUAUCCAGCGAUGGUUGCAGAGGUUUAAAGAAGGUGAUUUCUCUCUACUGGACAAUCCAGGAUGUGGUAGAUCAUUGACGGCAGUGAGUGAUGUGAAUAAAGAGACCAUUGAUCAACUCAUCCAAAAUGACAGAUGUGUGAUGACACAACACCUUACUGAAAUGGCUCGUUUGUCAUUGGGUAGUGUGGUAUCACUGGUACAGUCACUAGGUUACAGAAAAAUCUGUGCAGAUGGGUGCCCAUAUGACGCAGGAGAAAAUCAGGAAGAUGGGUUGGAAAAUCGUGCCUCAUCCUCCCUGCAGUCCAGGAUUGGCUUUAUCUAAUUGUUAUCUCUUUGGUCGUCUGAAGGCCCACCUGUGCAGUAAAACAUUUGAUAGUGAGAAAGACCUUAUUUGCUGUGUCAAGUGGUGGUGUAAAAGUCAAUCCCCAGAAUUUUACCAAAGUGCAUUUACAUUAUGGAAAGAACGUUGGGCCAGAUGUGCACUACAUUGAGUAGGCUCAAUGUAUAGCUACAAGUUCCAAG